AGAGUUUGAUCAUGGCUCAGAUUGAACGCUGGCGGCAUGCCUUACACAUGCAAGUCGAACGGCAGCACGGGGGCAACCCUGGUGGCGAGUGGCGAACGGGUGAGUAAUACAUCGGAACGUGUCCUGUCGUGGGGGAUAACCAGUCGAAAGACUGGCUAAUACCGCAUGAGAUCGAGAGAUGAAAGCAGGGGACCGCAAGGCCUUGCGCGAUUGGAGCGGCCGAUGUCGGAUUAGCUAGUUGGCGGGGUAAAAGCCCACCAAGGCUACGAUCCGUAGCUGGUUUGAGAGAACGACCAGCCACACUGGGACUGAGACACGGCCCAGACUCCUACGGGAGGCAGCAGUGGGGAAUUUUGGACAAUGGGGGCAACCCUGAUCCAGCCAUGCCGCGUGUGUGAAGAAGGCCUUCGGGUUGUAAAGCACUUUCGGACGGAACGAAAUCGCGCGGGUGAAUAUCCCGCGUGGAUGACGGUACUGUAAGAAGAAGCACCGGCUAACUACGUGCCAGCAGCCGCGGUAAUACGUAGGGUGCGAGCGUUAAUCGGAAUUACUGGGCGUAAAGCGUGCGCAGGCGGCUUCGCAAGUCAGACGUGAAAUCCCCGGGCUUAACCUGGGAAUGGCGUUUGAAACUACGGAGCUGGAGUGUGGCAGAGGGAGGUAGAAUUCCACGUAGCGGUGAAAUGCGUAGAUAUGUGGAGGAAUACCGAUGGCGAAGGCAGCCUCCUGGGCCAACACUGACGCUCAUGCACGAAAGCGUGGGGAGCAAACAGGAUUAGAUACCCCAGUAGUCC
rnacentral:rRNA from 1 species